AUAGGCGUAGAUAUCGAAGACAACGACAUCUCUGUGAUCCAUGGAUUGCCUGAUUCUAAACGAAAAAAGGACCGAAUUAUAAUCAACUUUACACGUAGAGUGAAGCGUGAUCAGUUGUAUAAAGCCUGCAAGCACACUGCUAGCAAGAAAACACAAGAACUCCCGUCCAUUAGAAGCUAGAUGGGAAGUUUAUCCACUCUACUUCAUCGAUCUACAUCAACGAAUCAUUAAAAGGCAAACAGCGG